GGAGGUCACCUCAGUGGCAGGUGCUCAAGUUGGCCUCUGGGCGGGAGUUCCUGGGCAGCCUCCCUGGGGACAGUGCAGGGGUGGGGCUCUUGACCCCCAAGGACCUGCGGUCUGGGUCGCCUUCCUGAGCUGUCUGUCCAGCAUGCCUCACUAACCCCAGCUGACCUCUGCCAGACAGUGUCCACCCAGGGCCUCACAGGAGUCCCACCAUGGUCCUGGGAGGCGAUACAACUACAGCCCCAUUUUUCAGAUGGGGAAACCGAGGCACAGAGAAGUUUAGGAAGUCACCUGGGCACAGCUGGCAGGGUAUGAACCAGGCGCCUGCCUGGCGCUGGCCUCCCUGCCCCUGCCACUGGGGCAGCGCCCCUGGCGGAGUAGAGGGAGUGUCCCUGGGCUCGAAGUUCGGAUGGGCUCAGCCAGGACUCACAAAGGGUGGUCCGGCUAUUCCCACCACCAGGUGCCCCCUAUCCAUCCAUCCACCUCUCCAAUCAGUCAGAGGCAUGCAUGGCCCGAACCUCACCCCCACCACAAAGGGGGUCCUCGGCCGUCUGGAAUUGGAGCUGAAGCCCUGGGGAAGGCGCCUGGGGCCUCCCUCGGCCAAGGGUCAGGAUGGAGGAAGUGUGGUGGGCAGGGGUGUUUGGAGGCAACACAGCCUCCGUUACAGAACCGUGGACCCUGAGCCUCCCUCUGGCGGGGCAGGGAAGGACAGGAGCCCAAGACCCCCGGCAUCCUGCCCCCAGGGCCCCAUCAGUUCCAGGAGGUCCCUAACUCAAGAGCACCCAUCCCUGCUGAGGAGCAUGGUGUGGGGAGCUGGGCGGGAGGGGCACCCCCAGGCCAAAGCAGACUCUAAUCUUGUGUGGGGGAGGGGCUCUGGGCCUUGGACGGGCUUGCCACCCAAGUUGGGGUGAAAUCAGACCCUUGAAGGCACAAGGUGAGGAAGAGGACGGGUGGGAGGCGGGAGGUGGAAGGUGAAGCCAGACCCCCCCACACACCCUGGGGCAUUGCUGAUAAGGCUCCCUCUGGGCUCAAAGACUGGCUGCAGGGGUACCGGGACUGCAGAGAUUCCUCCUGCAGAGGCUGGACUACCACGUGUCUGGACCGCUCUGGGGGCCCUGACCAGGGAGGCAGGCCUGGGUCUGGUCGCCACCUACUCCUGCAUCAGAAGCAAGCUGUGCAUGUCACCAAUGUGGGAGCCCCCCGGGUAGGACUGGAGCGGGGUGGUGCCCCAGGACCUGUCCAGUCCUCCACUAGAACUCGCAGCACCUCCGUGCUGAACUCAAGGUGCCCGUCGAGGGGAAGUGGGGACUGGAGAUUUACCCCUUCCAUCCUCCUGGCUGGACACCCGCAUGCAGUGAGCCACCUGCAGACUGGAACACUUCAGCCCUGCACUCAAGAGUCAGCAGGUGCGCAGUGACCGAAAGCAGAAACAACCCCGUGCCCAUCAACAGAUGAAGGACACCAAGAUUCAGUCCAUCCGCACGAGGAAGUGCUAUUCAACCCUAAAGAAGAAUGAAGGGCCGGCUCAGGCUGCCUCGUGGACGAACCUUGAAAACACGAUGCUGAGCAAAGGAAGCCAGACACCAUAUUGGUCAAUUCCAUUUAUAUGAAAUUCCAGAACAGGCCAAAGCAGUGAAAAAAAAACAACCCGAAACCCUCAUGUCCAGUGAGUGUUGGAGCUGAGUGGGAAGCCGAGUCAGGCCGGCCCGGGCCAUCACCCUCCACCCAGUGCACCCCAGAACAGCGGCUUGACGCAGAGGGGCCCAGUUCUCAGGCAGGACACCUCCUGUGUGUGGCUAGGGGUCCCACAACCCCGGAGGCUGUGUGCUGUGAGCAGGGGGUGCAGCAGGUUACUUUGCCUCCCAAGUGGGUACCCCGGUGGGGGCAAGAUGCACUUCUGAACUAAUUGAGCUCUUGUCUGAUGGGAGGUCUGCCCCUGCCAGAGCUUCAAGGUCAAAAGAAAGGGCUGAAGGAGGCGUGUGCUGCAGCCCAGAUCGGGCCCGAGGCGUGCUCUGGUCCCUGAAGGGUCUGCCCGACUCCCUUCCAGACCAAGGGAAGCUUCUGGAAACCUGGGAGGCAGGCAAGGCAGCAGGGGAGGGAAGAGCCUCACCCCAGCCCAUGUGUCCCUGUGAAGCUUAGCCCCCCAGAUUGUGAGAGGAAGGGGCCCCCAUCCUCUCAAGCCCCUCAACCACUGGGGAGGUGAGUGUCUUGUCCCCUUACAGAGAGGUCUAAGCCACCAAGGAGAAGCAAAGACCCAACCCAGGGCUCUGAGUCCAGGGCUUACAGGCACCAUGACGAGGACCAGGGACACCUGGGCAUAUGGGAGGGAGGGAGGGGGAAGAAGGAAGGGAGGCAGGGUCAGUGGGCACUUUGGGCAGUGGUCAGGGGUCGGGAAAGGCUUCCUGCUGAGGUGUCCCAGAGCAGCUGCGAGAGCAGAGGCAGAGUCUGAGCCAAAGAUGGGCCCAGAACCUCAGCCCCAAUGGGGCGCGGAUACUCCUGAGGCCUCGAGGGCCCAGCCUGUGACACCCCUCCGUCCCUCCGUCCCUCCCCCCCACCAGGCCUCUCUGCGGCUCUGGGCCUGGGCCACCUCCAGCCCUGGGUGGAAGGAGAGGCCGCCCCAGGAGAGACAGCUGUACAUCAGUCCUGCACGUUGGUUCCUGACGAGGCUCUGAGUCAUAUGCUCCCUGUGUUCGUCCGCAGAGUGGAGCAGAUGGUGGUGCAGUAACACUUUAAAUUAAGUAUUCCAAAAGCACAUUAAAUCUAGAUUGAAUAAGACAGUUAUUGUAUGGAAAUUGAAGGCCCAUUGGUUCUUCUCUGAGUAUCGAGGUCCAGCAGCUCCUCAUCCAGUCUCUCCCCGCCUUGAUUUCGAGGGUGGCUCAUGAGUGUGCCUGGGCAGCGGGGCAGGGCUUUCCCAUAUCAGCCCCCCAGGGACCCCCGCCUCGCACGGACCUCAGUUUCUGAACCCCUGUCCCCCUGGCCUUGCUCCGGAGCUGACCGCAGUUCCCUUGCUGGAGGCUAACGAGGGCUGGGUACCACCCUCAGGCUGGCUUGGAGGGCUCUCAUGGAAUCCUCCAGAAGCUGGAGGCUGAGAGGGGAAGGGACUUGUUCCAGGACUCUCUGCGGGGGCGGGGGGAGGUGGGGGGAGGGGCAGGGCGGGAGGGGCACACAGGGGUCUGGGAGGGGUCCUGCCGGAGGUGGCCAGGUGGACACGGAGCCUGGUGAACCAAGCUUUGCUGAGCAAGGAUGGUGGGGGGAACAGCUCACCCUCAGUACCAUCCUCCCCAAGCCCUGCCCUUCUCCUCCCCCACCAUCCUAUCCCCCCAGUGCGAGAGGGAGCGCCCCUGGGAAGGGGCGAUUCCGGGAGCACUGCCCCCCCCAGGCCUCCUCAGACCAGGGGCUGGAAGCUGCUAAGUGCCUGAUGAGUUCUUGUGGCCACAGUAAAUCUGGUCACUUCGUCCCUGCGGAGAGGCCCCCGGCCUCCAGGCGGAGGAAACCGGCUCCCCGACCUCAAGCAGGUGAACGCCGGCCCAUGGCGGCAGUUCCUGUAACCGGCAGCCGUGCUAUUAAUAAUCAAUCCAUUGGCCCUAAAAGCUUCAGGGGGAGCAGAGAGGCCUCUGUGGGGGCCUGGCAGGGAGGGGGUCUGCACAUGGCCCAGAGCCUGGGCAGGAGGCUGGGAGCACGGGGACCUACCUGGAGUCACAGCUGGCCCACCAGGUCUGCUGAGAGACACCUGGAACCCGGCCUCUGUCCCCAGAGUUAGGUCCAGGACCCGCGAUCAGGGGCGGGAUGUGGGCUGGGGGCCUGCCCUCAGCCAGGCGGUCACCGCUGGCUAGGCGGCCAGAUUCAUCAACUGAAGAUACACAGUGAAAGUGAAGAUAGUCAGUCACUCGUGUCUGACUCUUUGCAACCCCAUGGACUGUAGCUCACUAGACUCCUCUGUCCAUGGCAUUCUCCACUCCAGGAAUACUGGCGUGGGUCCCUAUUUCCUCCUCCAGGGGAUCUUCCUGACCCAGGGAUCAGACCCAGGUCUCCCACAUUGCAGGUGGAUUCCUUACCAUCUGACCACCAGGGACACCCAUCCUUCUUCAGACCAAAUUUCACAUUCAUAAGGAAUAACUUUUUAGUUCAAGGACUUCCCAUGCAGUCUGGGGACAUAUCAUUGUUUGAAAUUCAGAUUCAGCUGGGUCUUCUGUAUUUUAUCUGGCAAGCCCCUGCCCUUGCGGCUCCUCCUUCCCUGGAACCCGGGCUCUGUACGGCUCUGGGGCUCUCUCUGUGCUCUGGCCUCCCUGCCUCCCCUCCACCCCUGCCCCAGGGCCUCCUUAGCGUCUCUUCUUCCUGACGGCUCUCGCAUGGUCUCUGUGGACUUGUGCUUUGGGUCCCUGUCUUCCC
ensembl:lncRNA